rnacentral:rRNA from 1 species
UACGUAGGGUGCGAGCGUUGUCCGGAAUUAUUGGGCGUAAAGAGCUUGUAGGCGGUCUGUCGCGUCUGCUGUGAAAAUCCGGGGCUCAACCCCGGACUUGCAGUGGGUACGGGCAGACUAGAGUGUGGUAGGGGAGACUGGAAUUCCUGGUGUAGCGGUGAAAUGCGCAGAUAUCAGGAGGAACACCGGUGGGCGAAGGC